GUCAAGCAAGUUGCACAAAAGAAACUGUCGUCACAUAAACUAAAUCUAAGAAAAUAAUAGCAAGAUGCCACUAAUCCCACUUUAAAAGACAGCUACAGAAAGUAAGCAAAAAUUACUUGCAUUUUGUGCAAAGCAAUGGAGUUUGUUUGUCCAAAAAUUUUAUGACACUCUUAGGCAAUUGAACAGGCACCCAUCCCUAAGUACUACCCAACUAUUUUGAGCAG
rnacentral:misc_RNA from 1 species